rnacentral:tRNA from 1 species
GGAGAGUUGGCCGAGUGGUUUAAGGCGCACGCCUGGAAAGCGUGUAAAGGUGAAUAGCCUUUCGGGGGUUCGAAUCCCCCAUUCUCCGCCA